AACGAACGCUGGCGGCAGGCUUAACACAUGCAAGUCGAACGCAUCCUUCGGGGUGAGUGGCAGACGGGUGAGUAACGCGUGGGAACGUGCCCUUCAGUUCGGGAUAACCCAGGGAAACUUGGGCUAAUACCGGAUACGUGCGAGAGCAGAAAGAUUUAUCGCUGAAGGAUCGGCCCGCGUCUGAUUAGCUAGUUGGUGGGGUAAUGGCCCACCAAGGCGAUGAUCAGUAGUUGGUCUGAGAGGAUGAUCAGCCACAUUGGGACUGAGACACGGCCCAAACUCCUACGGGAGGCAGCAGUGGGGAAUAUUGGACAAUGGGCGCAAGCCUGAUCCAGCCAUGCCGCGUGAGUGAUGAAGGCCUUAGGGUUGUAAAGCUCUUUCGUCCGGGACGAUAAUGACGGUACCGGAAGAAGAAGCCCCGGCUAACUUCGUGCCAGCCGCCGCAGUAA
rnacentral:rRNA from 1 species